AGUCAGUCCAUUUAGAAUAAUAAGAUAAGAUGCAACUACCAUUCUCACUAUCCACACGCAACAAAUAGGAGGGGCUAUGCAUAUUGAAUAUUCUGUCUGACUCAGAAAUUCCACAAUCAAUAAGUCUAUAUCUAUCGGUGUAGUGUGGGGAGAAAGGUAGGUUGGAUUGUGAGUUAGCUUGCUCUUGGAAUUAAUCGCCACUUUUUUUGAUAUAACAGAUCAAACUGAAGACGCUGGUCACAAUAAGUGAAUAAAGCUCAGAUCGAGUUUCAUCAGAGUCACAAUAAUGAAGCAAGAAGUGGUUCCAAGGUCACUAGCACCACCACCACCACCACCACCUCCUCCACUUCCAAAAUUCAGGGUCUUCUCAAGACCAAGAGCAGAAGAGAGUGUCACAAACCGAGAAAUCGCCAAGUUUUGGAGGCAAAAGAGGAUCGUGGAGGAGGACCACCUCCUUGCUGCUAUCAAGGCUGUGGCUAGACUCCGUGCACGCACUCUCACGGAGCAAGAGUACGAGAGGUUCGAGUUGUCUCUGAAGACCGAUAAUAAUGACUACGAUGAAACCGAGAAAGAAACGGUGAAGUGGAUCGUAGGGACAAAUGCUUAUUGCAAAACAGUUGCUAAGGACCAAGAAGUGCGCAUCGGAAUCAAGGAUUGGUGGACAAAAAGCAAAUAUGCGUAUUUGAAUCAACCAGCCAUAGAUUCCAUGGAUCCUCCUAAGAAACGAACCACUACGUAUGUUCCCAACUUUCUUUCUUACCAGCCCAAGCCUUUGUAUCCUUCUGCUAUUGGUGUCUUUUAAGCCACAGGAGGCAUUCCAUUGCUGCUUGUUAAUUACUAAUAAUUACUUGAAUUCCUGCUAGUUUUCACCUACGUUUUCAUUUCAUUCGUCAUUUUUUUUUCUUUUUGUGGGGGAGGGUUGUCCAAUGUUUCAUUUGUCAUUCAAAUGCGUGUCCAUGUCCUUUUAUAUAAGUAUUGCUGGACAUUCUAAAUAACAUGCGAGUAUUUUGUAAUUUGUAUGUGUCAUUCUAUUGUUCCGUUUCCAGGUUAUUUAUCAGUGAAAGGAUUACUGAAGUACUGAACAUUAAACU